GGAACCGAAGUAUGCACAGCCUCUUUAUUGCUAGAACCGCUAUAAUUUAAUAUUGAGCUAAUAAUUUGAGUUAAUAUUUAUAAAGCACUUAGAAAGAGCCCAGCACAUAGUAAUAGCUAUCUAAGUUUUCAUUGAAUAAAUAAGGCACUUUCCAGAUUGGUUGGGUGAAUUCUUAACCUAGUGACAAAAUACAGAAUCAAAAUACACAGCAAUCUAAAUUUUUUUUUACCUUGAUAAAGAUUUAGGAACUGUAGUGCUCUGUAUUUAUUCCCACAUUUCAAGUGUACCCUAUAUAGUCUCUUGUGCAGGUCUAAAAUUAUACUCAUGGUUCAGAAAUCAAUGUGCACAAUUAAAUAAUGAAAGAGUUCAAGUUUCAAGAGAUGAAUUCUCUUUCCUCUCUCUCCAAGUAACCACCACUAAAAAUGACAAACUCUAAAAAUCUCAAAGCACUCCUAGAUGUACAGCCGAAUGCUAAAAGUGUGGGAAUAAACAGAGACAAAUUCACUUGAAAAGAGACGGAAAGGGUUCAAAUCACAAGAGAACUUAAGGGAUAGCAAUGGCAUUAAAGUCUCAAGACACCAGGUCCGCUGACAACAGGUUGAUUCCCGUGCCCUCCACUCCCGAGGCCUCCUCCAUCCCUGAUCCUCGCAGGUGACCCGCAGCCACUUUCGACCUCAGGUUGGGGUCUCCCUCCCUCCCCGUUCCCAGCUCCUCUUCGCUCUGAAGGUGCGCACGGGUUAACACUGUCGGUCCACCGACACCACUCGGGCGUUUAGGAAUCAAAAAGCAGAAUCUGAAUCCACCACGGGGAGACAAAGACCACAAACUCUGAGUCGGGUGCUGAGGCGAGGGUAUUGCUUUUCCCCUUCCGACCAACUCGGAGGUUUCCGGGCGGAGGUGCGGAGAGCUGCCAGGGGACCCGGGAAAGUCACGUUUGCUCCGUGGAGCGGCGGCAGUCGAGGCCCGUGACCCCCCGCCGCGCCCCAUCUCACCCGCCCGGGGACCUCGGGCUGCGGUCCGGACGCGCGCGGCCCCUGCCGCCCGCCCCCGCCGUGGGUCGCCGCGGCCCCACACCUACCCGGCUCCGCGGGGCUCCUCCCGGCGCGGCGGGCGCGGAGCCGAGCGCACCCGCGCUUCCUCCUUCCCGGCAGGGCCGCCGGGCGCCGGCGUUUCCUCCCUGACGCGUCACGGCGGCAGGCGGCUCCUCCCGCGGAGGGCGCGGGCGGCCCGGAGACCGGCGGCGGGCAGUGCGCGGGGAAGGCGCCCGCCGCGGAAGCCGGCUGUCCGGCCUCUUCCCGGGGGACCCCUCCGAUCCCGGGCCGCAGCGCGAAGGCCGGCCCGCCUCUCCGUGUGCGCGAAGCUCAGGGACGCCGGGGGUCCUGUCUGGAGGCUCAGACUCCCCGGCGUUUCGCGCUGCUCAGUGUUAGCGACCUCUGCCCGGGGCCCGAGAGCCGCUUGGGCCAAGGCGCCCGGGGCCGGCCAGUGAAGACGACCCUGGUGUGGGCAAGGAGCAGGAGCGCUGGACCGCCGGAGGGAUCAGCGUCGCCCGAGGAAUGGCCUGGCGGACAUGUGGCUGGGGGUCACCUGGAAACUCAAGAGAAGUGAAAUAAAUUUUGAGGCAAUUGUCUGCUGUACACCAUCUGAUUCCAGAGAAUUUGCUACAAAUCUAUGAACAAGUAAACUUCCAGAGAUGAAAUGCCCAGUAGGAGACAUGGACCUCUAUAAAGGAUUGGAGAUCUGCAAUUUGCUUUUAAUGUAAUCAUAUGUGAAUAGAAAUAUUGCUGGUUCAACAGACAUUUCCUCUGCAAAGCACUGUGUUAAGACAGAUGGAAGGUUCAGGUACAAAGAUAUACUGUGCUUUCAAGGGGAUUUUAUAUCCUUGAUAUCACAUGAGAAAAUGAGAAAAACACCUUAAUUUUUUUCUUAUGCCCGUUACAUUCUUAUUAAAUGUAUCCCUCAAUACACUGCAUUUUUAACUAUCUUACCACUUUUGCCUUGUGUUGUAUUUCUUCAAGCCCUGUACCAUACUGUUUGAAAGUAUUGCAGGCAUGUUAUUUGGCUUGAACUAGUUCUUUCAAAUUUCAUCUUGUUCCUUGUAAUUUCAACCCAUGACUGGGAUAAAUUUUUUUAAUUGCUACUUAUUUGCAUUGGAGAAGAAUCAUAUGAAAAAUGGGUAGAGGAAAAUAUUUCUGGAAACUGUGAUCAUAGAAAUUAAAAUUCCCUACAUGUCUAAAAUGGAUUCCUAUACCAUUUCCCUAAAUAGCAAGAAAAUAUGAUGAUUUGAGGUAUUCAAGAUGCUGGAAGAUGACACCAGACAUCUGAGUCAGAGAAAAAGAAGCUUUUAUCUCAAUGCACAGCAUAAAAAGCAUGAACAUCAGAAUGUUUGCAUCAAUUCCUCUUGCCUCCAAGUUCCACAGGAGUGAUGCGAAGGGGCCCGGAUAGAUGCCACACAUGCAGUGGGUUGUGUUGCAGCAAGGAAACAAUGAGCUUGGAGAACCCACUGCUUUUCUGGCAAGCAGCAAGCUCAGCCAGCUCUUUGUCCCAGAGGAGAUGAUACUUCAUCUCUCAAGAUUGCUUGCUGCAAACAAACCAUGAAAAAUGGCUUGGGUAAAGAGUGGUGUGGUGGAAAGCCUGGAAGAUGGCCCAUAAUGGUUCUUGCCUCUGGGUAUUCACUCUUUUGCAAAUCCCCUCCAGUUGACUGUGGGCUGGACUUACCGACUUACUUCUUACUAACUGAAUACAGCACAAGUGACAGGAUGUUGCUCCUGAGGUGAAGUUAUAAAAAGACUGUGGCUUCUGUCUUGGGCACCCUCUCAUGUUCUCUCACUCACUCACUCUGAGGGAAGACAGCUGUCACGUUGUGAGUUGCCUUAUGGAGAGACCAGCAUGGCAAGGAAAGGAUGUCUUUGGCCAACAGUCAGCAAGGACUUGAGGCCUGCUAACAGCCACAUAAGUGAGCUUGGAAGCAGAGUCUCCCCCAUUCAAGGCUGGACAUGACUGCAGCCCUGGCCUACACCUUAUUGCAGCCUUUUCAGAGACCCUGAGUCAGGGGCACCUGGCUAGGCUGCACUCAGCUUCCUAAUCCACAGAAACUGUCAGAAAAUAAAUGUUUAUUGUUUUAAACCUAUGCAGUUUUGGACUAAUCUGUUAUGCAGUAAUAGAUAAGUAAUACAAGUGGUCAGGCCUUGAAUUCUUGGCAUACUGAGCAAGACAUGCAGAGGCAUGAGAGACCCAUAGAUAACCAUUUCCCAACACCAGUGUAAAGCUACAACCCAGGGUAGGCAAUCCCAUCUUCCUUGAAGAGGGUUGACAUGCUUAAUGUCUAGCAUCUAGGAAAGAGGCAGAUACUGAGACAGGAGACUAGAAUUUCAAAGGAAGCCCUGAGCUGAAACCAGCUUUACCAAUCUUGGAGCUAGUUUUCCAAGAAUUUUCCUUGCUUGAGUACAUAAUGCAGGGUAGAAAAAAGUGGCUUCUGCUUUGUGCAUGCAGUAGGAAGCCAGGUAGGCAGGAAUCCUUUUACGGUGUCAAAUGUUGAAAUGCCUACACCACGUUCAGUGAACCAGAUUAUCUAGUUGUAUAUUACUGCCUGUACUCAGUUGCCUUCUGUUCAUCUGGACUCCUUUGUAAACUUUUGUUUAAAUAUUUCCCCGCCGCUUAUCUAUACCCUGGGGAAUUGAGUGAAACGCUUGAGCUACAAUAUUAAAGAAGAUACAGUGCCCCCUGGAGGCCAGAGUGGUAAUGCUCAGAGACCCCCAAGAGGCAGGAGAACCUGGGGGGACGGCAAGGCUCCUUAUAAAUGCUAAUGAAAUAUUUGAUAAAAUUAAAAACCUCUUUGAUUUAAA
ensembl:lncRNA